UGCCCCAGUCAAGACCCAUAGUUCCCCUUUUGACCCCUGCGCUGAUACAGAAGCUCCCUUGGCCUUUCAGUCUUGGCUGACACCCUGACGUUCCAACAGUUGUCCUGGCUGUGGUAAGAGGCCUGCAGUGAGUAAGGACAACAGGAAUGUGGUUGCUCCAUUGCUGACCAAUCAUCCUGGGGUCCUGUCAGCACGUGAGCCCCAGGGGCUGGGUAGAGGGGUUGCUGAGGGCUGGCAGACUACCACUGUCUGGGACACAAUGAAGACAGAACAAUCAGAAACCCCUGGCUUAUACUCUGGCUGGUGGGGUUUCUAGCAGCACUGAAUGCAAUGUGGCUACAGAGACCCAGUCCUUCUCCCCUGCCCCUCCCCGCACAAAGAAUUUACCAUCAAAUGCAGCAUUGUAGGCUUAAUAUCAAAUACAAGGGAGCAAGAAAACCAUUCAAUCUAAUAAGCACAGAGGCCAAAGUCUAAGUAAGUUGAGUUUUGAGCUGGACUUUGAGGAUGGGGUUUUCUGUAAAAAAAAAAUUAAAUGCAUAUAUAGAUGUGGGUCUCUUUUGUCCAGGAUUGCUGACAAUGCAUCAAGAGCAAUGCUGCUAGGGAGGUUAUCUGAAAAUAGUUUAUAUUACUUCUACUUCUCUUUUUAUUUUGAAAUAAUUUUAGAUUUACUGAAAAGUUGCAAAAAAUAGUACAAAGAGUUUCCAAAUACCCCUUGCACAGCUUCUUCUAAGGUUCACAUCUGACAUAGCCACAAUCCAAUUAUUGCAACUAGGAAAUUGUAUUGAACCAGCAUUAUUACCUAACUUCACUCACAUUUCACCACUUUCAUUAAUGUCCUUUUUCUGGCCCAGGAUCCAAUUCUUUGUGUUUAAUUGUCAUAUCUCCUUAGUCCCCUCCAAUCUGUGACAGUUCUUUCUCUUGCAAGAUCUUGAUAAUUUAGAAGAAUCUUGGCCAGUUAUUGUGCAGGAUGUUCCUCAAUUUGAGCAUAUCUGUUUAAAGCUUUCUCAUGAUGAGAUUGAGGUUAAGUGUUUUUGGCAAGAAGGCCGCAGGAGGGUUGUGCCCUUUCAAUACAUGACAUCAGGAGGCACAUGAUGUCCAUGUGUCUUAUUACUGGUAAUGCUAACUUUGAUCCCUUGCUUAAGGGGGUGUCUUCCAGGUUACUAUUCUUCUCUCUGCCAUUAAUACUAAGAUAGGGCAUUCUGCUGUAACAAGCAACUCAAAACUCUUUGGGGUUUAAUACAAUGAGAGUUCAUUUCUUGCUUACACAAACCCCAUAUUUGAUGUUCCAGGUUGGGCAGCUGUCCUGGGCAACUCUCCUUCAAGACUGAUGAAGCAGCCAGGCCUCUCCUACCCUGUGAUUCUACCAUCCUGUGGUACUCCUUGGAAUCUCCUGUUGAGUCCUGUCUUAGUUUCUUAGUGCUGCUGUAACAGAAAUGAACAGGAAUUUAUUUUCUUAGAGUUUAGGAGGCUAGAAGUCUGAAUUCAGAGCACUGGCUCUAAGGGAAGGUCCUUGUCCCAGUGUUCCUCAGUUCUUUGGUGAUCUCCAUGUGGUAUCUAUCUUUCCCGCAUUUAUGCUUGCUUCUUUGUGCCUAACCUGCUCUUUUUAGAUCUCAAAAGUGACUAUGUUUAAGACACACUCUAUGAUAUGGGCUCAUUAACAUGACAAAACCCUAUUCCAAGAUGGAAUUACAUCCACAGGUACAGGGGGUAGGAUUCCAACACAUAUUUUUUUGGGGGGGAGCCAUACUUCAAUCCAUAAGAAGCACUUUGCCUGCAUCUGGUGGACAAGUAAAGAGAAAGAGCCUAGAGGGCCACACAGGAUGCUUUAGGGGUCAGGCCUGGAAGUCAUUCACUACUGGUAUUCCUAUCUCACUGGCCAGAACUCAGUCACAUGGCACCAAACUGGAAGGGAGCCUGAGAGAUAAGACAAUCCAUGUGGCCUCUAGAGCCAGACAGCGUGGUUUCCAAAUCCAGCUGUGGGACCUUCAGGGAAAGACUUAACCUUUUGUGCCUCAGUUUCCCCACCUGUGCAAUGGGAUAGUGAUAAUUCCUCCCUCAUGGGAUCGUUGACAGCUGUAAAUAUGAUUCUCCAAUUGAAGCACUUAGCUCAGUGCUGGGCAAGGAGGCCAGUUUGGAAGCUGGUCCCCUGGCAUACCAGGGAGAGCGGAGACCACCAGAGAUGGUGAUAUAAAAGGCACAGCCUUGGCCUUUUUCCCUCAGAUCUCUCUGAUUUCACUGAGCUUAUAGCUACUUCCAUUUAGAGAUCCCAUCUCCUUUUCAAACCUUCUCAGACCCUUCAUGGCUUCUGCCACCACUGCCCCACAGAGCACAGGGCAGUCUCAUCUGCAUCUCCAAGUGGGUGGGAGCUUAUGCCAAGUGAUCAGGGGCACAGCCAGAGCUGAUCUGUGCUUAAAAUUUUCUGGAAGUUCCGGUGUUCAGUGUUGGUGGGAUGAAAUAGUGAUCAUGUUUGGAAAUAGUUGCACAAACCAGGAACUUGGGGUUCUGAGAACUUUGAAAAGCCUGGUGGAAGGUGAGCAGGUGCCAGAACACAGAAGCUUGCGGCAACUUUUCUGAGAACUCCAGGUUUUGACUGAGGGCCUGGGGGAUCGGUUGCAGAGAGUAAAGAAGACAGACGCGCCAGGUUGACUCGUAUCAUCCACACACACACACCUAAGAGAGUUAGUGCCUUCAAAGGAAGAUUGGAACUACUUGAAGUGUGUUUUAGGAGCCAAUCAUGCCUUCAUCCUCCACUCUCAAGAGUCUCCUCAUCACCUGUGUCCUUGCAGCCUUUGCUUUCAGCACUGCGUGGAGUUAUAAUUGUGAAAGCUGCAGUUCUAAUCCAUGUAGUCCUGACCAGACAUGUGAAGCCACCCAAGGCUGCUUCAAUAAUAAGCAACAACUCCAGUCACUAAGGGAUGUCCUAAACUCUAAGCAGAGUAAAGGCUGUAAUCAAAAAGAGUGUACCUCACUGGCCUUCACGGCAUCACUGGGAAAUGGAUAUACAUUUUGGUACGACCACCGAUGCUGCCAUUCUGAGAAAUGCAACAAAGAUGAUAUCUCAGGGCCUCAGAAAUCCUCAGACCCUAAUGGCGUUAAAUGUUAUGCCUGCUACACUGAUCAAAAUAUUUCCUGUGACCCAGUCCCCCUUAACUGCACAGGGACAGAAACAAAGUGUGCUGUGAUUAUUGGCACAGUUGGUCCUUACUUUGCAGCUUUUGCUAUGGGUUGUACCACUGAAAGCGCCUGCAAAUUGAGUGCAACCAUACUGGAUAACAUAGACAUUCGUACCUAUUGUAUAGACCCCAUCAGUGGGAACCCCCCCUGAUGCCCAUCAUCUCAUCAAUGCUCACUGGUCUCUUCCUGCUAAACGCCUUGCUGUGACCUCUCAAACACUGCCAAGCUCACAUGGCUAUAAACCUGAAAAAAUUGGAGGCCUCAAAUGAUUCUCCUCCCCAACAUUUCCCUGACAUUGGAAAAUUAAAGAGCUGAUACUUCCAUAAGUGCGUGUGUGACGACUUGUUUGUAUUUUAGGUUAAAAAAGAAAAAAUCCUAUUCACCCCUCUAAUGGCGUUUUUAUUUAUCCCAAGCAGCACGUUUCAGAUGAAGUCUGAGAUGGCAGGACUUUAGACAAGGGUAUCUUCAAGAAUUACUGUAACCUCAACUUUGUCACAACCCAUAUGCUCGGCCACACACCCCUAGAACAUGCCUCAUUUCUGUUAAAAUAAAAUUAUAUUAAGUCAAUAAUACAAGUUUAUUUAACAGACUAUUUGCAAAUUGGGGCAACAUUUCUGACUAGAGAGUCAAAAAUGUUCCAGAAAAGAAAAUGUUUUACAGUUUUUUUUUUUUUAUCCCAGCUUAUUGCUUUAAUGGAAACAGGGCCAGAAUAAAAUUUACAACAUAACUUGUGGACAUGCAGGAUUCCAUACAGUAUUUACUUGAAGAACAAUUCAAAUAAUUACUGAUUGACUUUAAAACAUAGCUUCUAUCCUGACCUUUGGAAUUGCUGGUGUCAAAACUGACUGUAUGAAGAUAAUUCUUUAAACAGCACAAUAGCCAAAGAAAACAUUCUUUACUAAUUAAGUUAAACUGUUGUUGAGUCCUGGUGGUGCGGUGGUUAAACGUUCAGCUACUAACCAAAAGGUCAGCAGUUUGAAUCCACCAGAUGGUCUUUGGAAGCCCUAUGGGGCAGUUUCUACUCUAUCCUAUAGGGUUGCUGUGAGUCAGAAGCGACUUUGCGGCAACGAG